GGCGUAAAGGGCGCGUAGGCGGCCUGGUAAGUCAGAUGUGAAAGCCCGCGGCUCAACCCCGGAACUGCGUUUGAAACUGCCUGGCUUGAGUAUGGGAGAGGGAAGUGGAAUUCCUGGUGUAGCGGUGAAAUGCGUAGAUAUCAGGAGGAACACCGGUGGCGAAGGCGGCUUCCUGGACCAAUACUGACGCUGAGGCGCGAAAGCGUGGGGAGCAAACAGGAUUAGAUACCCUGGUAGUCCACGCCGUAAACGAUGAACACUAGGUGUUGGGGGCUUUGAUACCUGCCGUGCCGAAGCAAAGGCGUUAAGUGCUCCGCCUGGGGAGUACGGCCGCAAGGAUAAAACUCAAAGGAAUUGACGG
rnacentral:rRNA from 1 species